rnacentral:rRNA from 1 species
GAUGAACGCUGACAGAAUGCUUAACACAUGCAAGUCUUUGGCGAAGCUGUGCUUGCACAGCCUAGCCAAGGCGGACGGGUGAGUAACGCGUAAGGAACUUGCCCUGCAGUCAGGGAUAACAGACGGAAACGACUGAUAAGACCUGGUAAAGUCAGGCGGACUCAUGUCCAGCCUGAUGAAAAGAGAUGCUGCAGGAGAGCCUUGCGUCCUAUUAGCUUGUUGGUGGGGUAACGGCCCACCAAGGCGAUGAUAGGUAGCCGGCCUGAGAGGGUGGACGGCCACAAGGGGACUGAGAUACGGCCCUUACUCCUACGGGAGGCAGCAGUGGGGAAUAUUGGAAAAUGGGGGCAACGCUGAUCCAGCAAUUCUGUGUGCACGAUGAAGGUUUUCGGAUUGUAAAGUGCUUUCAGCAGGGAAGAAAAAAAUGACGGUACCUGCAGAAGAAGCGACGGCUAAAUACGUG